rnacentral:rRNA from 1 species
UCGUCAGCUCGUGCCGUGAGGUGUGGUUAAGUCCGCAACGAGCGCAACCCCUACUGCCAGUCACUAACAGGUAACGCUGAGGACUCUGGCGGAACUGCCGGUGACAAACCGGAGGAAGGUGGGGAUGACGUCAAGUCAUCAUGGCCCCUAUGUCCAGGGCUACACACGUGCUACAAUGGGCGAUACAGAGUGACGCGAAGCCGCGAGGUGGAGCAAAUCGCAGAAAAUCGCUCUCAGUUCGGAUUGGAGUCUGAAACCCGACUCCAUGAAGGUGGAAUCGCUAGUAAUCGCGCAUCAGCAUGGCGCGGUGAAUACGUUCCCGGGCCUU